rnacentral:rRNA from 1 species
UACAGAGGGUGCGAGCGUUAAUCGGAAUUACUGGGCGUAAAGCGUGCGUAGACGGCUAUCUAAGUCAGGGGUGAAAUCCCAGAGCUCAACUCUGGAACUGCCUUUGAUACUGGGUGUCUUGAGUAUGGAAGAGGUGAGUGGAAUUCCGAGUGUAGAGGUGAAAUUCGUAGAUAUUCGGAGGAACACCAGUGGCGAAGGCGGCUCACUGGUCCAUUACUGACGCUGAGGUGCGAAAGCGUGGGGAGCAAACAGG